AGAGCGAACGCUGGCGGCAGGCCUAAUACAUGCAAGUCGAACGGACCCUUCGGGGUUAGUGGCGGACGGGUGAGUAACACGUGGGAACGUGCCCUUUGGUUCGGAACAACUCAGGGAAACUUGAGCUAAUACCGAAUGUGCCCCCAUCCUUAAACAAGAUGGGUGGGAAAGAUUUAUCGCCAUUGGAGCGGCCCGCGUCUGAUUAGCUAGUUGGUGAGGUAAAGGCUCACCAAGGCGACGAUCAGUAGCUGGUCUGAGAGGAUGAUCAGCCACACUGGGACUGAGACACGGCCCAGACUCCUACGGGAGGCAGCAGUAGGGAAUCUUGCGCAAUGGGCGAAAGCCUGACGCAGCCAUGCCGCGUGAAUGAUGAAGGUCUUAGGAUUGUAAAGCCCUUUCGACGGGGACGAUGAUGACGGUACCGUAGAAGAAGCCCGGCUAACUUCGCGCCAGCAGCCGC
rnacentral:rRNA from 1 species